rnacentral:rRNA from 1 species
CUGCGAGUGAAGCGGGAAAAGCUCAAAUUUAAAAUCUGGCAGUCUUUGGCUGUCCGAGUUGUAAUCUAGAGAAGUGUUAUCCGCGCUGGACCGUGUAUAAGUCUCCUGGAAUGGAGCGUCGUAGAGGGUGAGAAUCCCGUCUUUGGCACGGACUGCCAGGGCUCUGUGAUGCGCUCUCAAAGAGUCGAGUUGUUUGGGAAUGCAGCUCUAAAUGGGUGGUAAAUUCCAUCUAAAGCUAAAUAUUGGCGAGAGACCGAUAGCGAACAAGUACCGUGAGGGAAAGAUGAAAAGAACUUUGGAAAGAGAGUUAAACAGUACGUGAAAUUGUUGAAAGGGAAACGCUUGAAGUCAGUCGCAUUGGCCAGGGAUCAACCUUGCUUAUGCUUGGUGUACUUCCUAGUUGAUGGGUCAGCAUCAAUUUUGACCGGUGGAUAAAGGUUGGGGGAAUGUGGCAUCUUUGGAUGUGUUAUAGCCUUCAAUUGUAUACAUCAGUUGGGAUUGAGGAACUCAGCACGCCGAAAGGUCGGGUUUUAACCACGUUCGUGCUUAGGAUGCUGGCAUAAUGGCUUUAAUCGACCCGUCUUGAAACACGGACCAAGGAGUCUAACAUGCAUGCGAGUGUUUGGGUGGAAAACCCGAGUGCGCAAUGAAAGUGAAAAUUGAGAUCCCUGUCGUGGGGAGCAUCGAUGCCCGGACCAGACCUUCUGUGACGGAUCCGCGGUUGAGCAUGUAUGCUGGGACCCGAAAGAUGGUGAACUAUGCCUGAAUAGGGUGAAGCCAGAGGAAACUCUGGUGGAGGCUCGUAGCGAUUCUGACGUGCAAAUCGAUCGUCGAAUUUG